GACGAUAAGGCAGUCCAGGAGUUGUAUGAAUCUUCUGGUUGUGCCGUGCGAAGUGCCACCAACACCACUGCUUCACGCCGAGCCAGAACAAUCGAGACGUGCUUCUCUUUAACGGUGUUGGUGUGUUGCAGGAGCCCCCAGCACGUCUUAUACCAGUGGGAGUGAGCGAGUGAAAAACAAAGCAAGUCCCACCAGCUCCCUCUUGAUACCCUACUGCCUGCCCGCCUUAUCUUAUCUGUGUGAUAGCAAGUGACGUGGCCACCUCAGGGCAUCAACUCCCUAUCAUGUGAGGGUAUUAUGACGAUUAUAAUUAAUGCUGUUGUAUUAGCACUG